rnacentral:rRNA from 1 species
AUUGAACGCUGGCGGCAGGCCUAACACAUGCAAGUCGAACGGUAACAGGAAGCAGCUUGCUGCUUUGCUGACGAGUGGCGGACGGGUGAGUAAUGUCUGGGAAACUGCCCGAUGGAGGGGGAUAACUACUGGAAACGGUAGCUAAUACCGCAUAACGUCGCAAGACCAAAGAGGGGGACCUUAGGGCCUCUUGCCAUCGGAUGUGCCCAGAUGGGAUUAGCUAGUAGGUGGGGUAACGGCUCACCUAGGCGACGAUCCCUAGCUGGUCUGAGAGGAUGACCAGCCACACUGGAACUGAGACACGGUCCAGACUCCUACGGGAGGCAGCAGUGGGGAAUAUUGCACAAUGGGCGCAAGCCUGAUGCAGCCAUGCCGCGUGUAUGAAGAAGGCCUUCGGGUUGUAAAGUACUUUCAGCGGGGAGGAAGGGAGUAAAGUUAAUACCUUUGCUCAUUGACGGUACCCGCAGAAGAAGCACCGGCUAACUCCGUG